AUGCGAGAUUUUCAACAGAUUGUCCAUCUCCGGGACCGUCAGUGCUGUGUCUCGGCAAAGAAGUGGAGGGACCGAGCAGCCCCUGCUGCAGCCUCUGGCUAACGUUUACGUUAACUAACUU